rnacentral:rRNA from 1 species
AACGGACGCUGGCGGCAGGCUUAACACAUGCAAGUCGAACGCCUGUAGCAAUACGGGAGUGGCAGACGGGUGAGUAACGCGUGGGAACGUGCCCUUUGGUUCGGGAUAACCCAGGGAAACUUGGGCUAAUACCGGAUACGUCCCUAACGGGAGAAAGAUUUAUUGCCGAAGGAUCGGCCCGCGUCCGAUUAGCUAGUUGGUGGGGUAAUGGCUCACCAAGGCGACGAUCGGUGGCUGGUCUGAGAGGAUGAUCAGCCACACUGGGACUGAGACACGGCCCAGACUCCUACGGGAGGCAGCAGUGGGGAAUAUUGGACAAUGGGCGCAAGCCUGAUCCAGCCAUGCCGCGUGGGUGAUGAAGGCCCUAGGGUUGUAAAGCCCUUUCGGCGGGGAAGAUAAUGACGGUACCCGCAGAAGAAGCCCCGGCUAACUUCGUGCCAGCCGCCGCAGUAAGAC